UGUCUGCUUUUUGUCUUUAGGCUGAUUCUACCAUUUGCCAGAUCAUCCCCGCCACGGAUAAUGGGAAACUCGGCAAUUUCAAGAAUUUUGCUUUUUAAAAAAGUUCAUGAAAAAUGUGAAAGGGGAUUCAAUUUAGCUAUGCCAGAGGUCAGACAAGAAGACCAACUACACUUACCCUUCUUGUGAGCCCGAGUGAGUCACCUGAUGGAUGAAGCCUGCCUUCUGGAACCCAGCCAUGUCCCAAGAAGACAGGACACAAGAGACCCAGACAGGUAGACCCACCCAACAGAAAAGGAGCCCAACUUCAGAUCCUGCAACAAAGAGGUGAGCCUCAGGAGGCAGCAGCUGAGUGACUGUGAUGUGGGAGACAAUUCUGCAGCACAGGACAGGUGGACCUCCUCUUGCAAAUCGCCAUUCAUCAUCAGGAGGCCUUGGGCCUUUUCUUCCUCUGUGCCCUCACCUGGGGAGGCAUUCCCUUGCUCACAGCGACUAUUCUCCCCUCACUCCUCAGGGCCCAGCUCAGAUGUCACCUCUCUGGAGGCCUCUUGAACCACUGCCUUACCUCCAAAUAGCCAGAGUGAGGUGCAGCCUUCUUUGUUUAGACCUUUACCAUAACAUUUUGCACGUGGUGGAUUAAUAAUUUACACAUUUGUUGCAUGUUUCACACUGUGAGCUACUGCAAGGCCAAGAAUUCCAGCUAUUAUUCAUGCAUGUAUCUCCAGGCUCAGAACCAGCUCUGGCACAGAUUGACUACAUGCUCAUAAAACAUUUUCAAAAUGGUACUACCCUAAUUUAGAAUGAAAUUGGAAACUCUUUGUUUUAAGAAACAAAAUAAAUGCCCCCCAAUUAUUAUAUCCACUCUAACCUCACUUAAUUCUGGAAACGAUUUGGGAUAAGAAAAAAAAUAUUUGA